rnacentral:rRNA from 1 species
UGAGGAAUAUUGGUCAAUGGGCGAGAGCCUGAACCAGCCAAGUAGCGUGCAGGAUGACGGCCCUAUGGGUUGUAAACUGCUUUUUAUACGGGGAUAAAGUUGGGGAGUGUCCCCAUUUGUAGGUACCGUAUGAAUAAGGACCGGCUAAUUCCGUGCCAGCAGCCGCGGUAAUACGGAAGGUCCGGGCGUAUCCGAUUUAUUGGGUUUAAAGGGAGCGUAGGCCGGGAGAUUAAAGCGUGUUGUGAAAUGUAGGAGCUCAACUUCUGCACUGCAGCGCGAACUGGUUUCCUUGAGUACGUAGGAAGUUGGCGGAAUUCGUGGUGUAGCGGUGAAAUGCUUAGAUAUCACGAAGAACUCCGAUUGCGAAGGCAGCUGACUGUAUCGUAACUGACGCUGAAGCUCGAAAGUGUGGGUAUCGAACAGGAUUAGAUACC